rnacentral:rRNA from 1 species
AUUGAACGCUGGCGGCAGGCCUAACACAUGCAAGUCGAGCGGAUGAAGGGAGCUUGCUCCUGGAUUCAGCGGCGGACGGGUGAGUAAUGCCUAUGAAUCUGCCUGGUAGUGGGGGAUAACGUCCGGAAACGGGCGCUAAUACCGCAUACGUCCUGAGGGAGAAAGUUGGUGAUCUUCGGACCUCACGCUAUCAGAUGAGCCUAGGUCGGAUUAGCUAGUUGGUGGGGUAAAGGCCUACCAAGGCGACGAUCCGUAACUGGUCUGAGAGGAUGAUCAGUCACACUGGAACUGAGACACGGUCCAGACUCCUAAGGGAGGCAGCAGUGGGGAAUAUUGGACAAUGGGCGAAAGCCUGAUCCAGCCAUGCCGCGUGCGUGAAGAAGGUCUUCGGAUUGUAAAGCACUUUAAGUUGGGAGGAAGGGCAGUAAGUUAAUACCUAGCUGUUUUGACGUUACCAACAGAAUAAGCACCGGCUAACUUCGUG